AACUUUGUCCUGUGGCAGUGUCAUUGCCAAUGAGGUUUAUCUGAAGUGUGAUUAUUGCUAAUUGAAAACUUUUCCCAGUACCCGACCCUGAUAACUUGCAAUACAGUCAGCACUGGCAAUUUUUGACACUCUAUGGAGA